rnacentral:rRNA from 1 species
AUUGAACGCUGGCGGCAGGCCUAACACAUACAAGUCGAACGGUAACAGGAAGCAGCUUGCUGCUUUGCUGACGAGUGGCGGACGGGUGAGUAAUGUCUGGGAAACUGCCCGAUGGAGGGGGAUAACUACUGGAAACGGUAGCUAAUACCGCAUAACGUCGCAAGACCAAAGAGGGGGACCUUAGGGCCUCUUGCCAUCGGAUGUGCCCAGAUGGGAUUAGCUAGUAGGUGGGGUAACGGCUCACCUAGGCGACGAUCCCUAGCUGGUCUGAGAGGAUGACCAGCCACACUGGAACUGAGACACGGUCCAGACUCCUACGGGAGGCAGCAGUGGGGAAUAUUGCACAAUGGGCGCAAGCCUGAUGCAGCCAUGCCGCGUGUAUGAAGAAGGCCUUCGGGUUGUAAAGUACUUUCAGCGGGGAGGAAGGGAGUAAAGUUAAUACCUUUGCUCAUUGACGUUACCCGCAGAAGAAGCACCGGCUAACUCCGUG